rnacentral:rRNA from 1 species
UACGUAGGGUGCGAGCGUUAAUCGGAAUUACUGGGCGUAAAGCGUGCGCAGGCGGUUUUGUAAGCCAGGUGUGAAAUCCCCGAGCUCAACUUGGGAAUUGCAGUGGAUACUGGCAAGCUGGAGUACGGUAGAGGAAGGUGGAAUUCCCGGUGUAGCAGUGAAAUGCGUAGAGAUCGGGAGGAACACCAGUGGCGAAGGCGGCCUUCUGGACCAGUACUGACGCUCAUGCACGAAAGCGUGGGGAGCAAACAGG